rnacentral:rRNA from 1 species
UACGGAGGGUGCAAGCGUUAUCCGGAUUCACUGGGUUUAAAGGGUGCGUAGGUGGGUUUGUAAGUCAGUGGUGAAAUCUCUAAGCUUAACUCGGGAAUUGCCAUUGAUACUGCCAGUCUUGAAUACGGUUGAGGUAGGCGGAAUAUAGCAUGUAGCGGUGAAAUGCUUAGAUAUGCUAUAGAACACCGAUUGCGAAGGCAGCUUACUAAGCCGUUAUUGACGCUGAGGCACGGAAAGCGUGGGGAGCAAACAGG